rnacentral:rRNA from 1 species
GUGCCAGCAGCCGCCGCGGUAAUACGUAGGGUGCAAGCGUUAAUCGGAAUUACUGGGCGUAAAGCGUGCGCAGGCGGUGAUGUAAGACAGUCGUGAAAUCCCCGGGCUCAACCUGGGAAUUGCGAUUGUGACUGCAUCGCUGGAGUGCGGCAGAGGGGGAUGGAAUUCCGCGUGUAGCAGUGAAAUGCGUAGAUAUGCGGAGGAACACCGAUGGCGAAGGCAAUCCCCUGGGCCUGCACUGACGCUCAUGCACGAAAGCGUGGGGAGCAAACAGGAUUAGAUACCCUGGUAGUCCACGCCC